AACGAACGCUGGCGGCAGGCUUAACACAUGCAAGUCGAACGCAUCCUUCGGGGUGAGUGGCAGACGGGUGAGUAACGCGUGGGAACGUGCCCUUCAGUUCGGGAUAACCCAGGGAAACUUGGGCUAAUACCGGAUACGUGCGAGAGCAGAAAGAUUUAUCGCUGAAGGAUCGGCCCGCGUCUGAUUAGCUAGUUGGUGGGGUAAUGGCCCACCAAGGCGACGAUCAGUAGCUGGUCUGAGAGGAUGAUCAGCGACAUUGGGACUGAGACACGGCCGAAACUCCGACGGGAGGCAGCAGUGGGGAAUAUUGGACAAUGGGCGCAAGCCUGAUGCAGCCAUGCCGGGUGAGUGAUGAAGGCCUUAGGGUUGUAAAGCUCUUUCGUCCGGGACGAUAAUGACGGUACCGGAAGAAGAAGCCCCGGCUAACUUCGUGCCAGCAGCCGCCGUAA
rnacentral:rRNA from 1 species